rnacentral:rRNA from 1 species
UACGUAGGGGGCAAGCGUUGUCCGGAUUUAUUGGGCGUAAAGAGCGUGUAGGCGGCCAGGUAGGUCAGCUGUGAAAACUCGAGGCUCAACCUCGAGACGUCGGUUGAAACCACCUGGCUAGAGUCCGGAAGAGGAGAGUGGAAUUCCUGGUGUAGCGGUGAAAUGCGCAGAUAUCAGGAGGAACACCUAUUGCGAAGGCAGCUCGCUGGGACGUAACUGACGCUGAGACGCGAAAGCGUGGGGAGCAAACAGG